UUGCGGCUAUAUUACGCUGAAAACAUCGGUUCUCGUCCGAUCCUCGAAGUUAAGUAGCGUCAGGCCUGGUCAGAACUUGGAUGAGUGACCGUUUGCGAAUACCAGGUG